rnacentral:rRNA from 1 species
AUUGAACGCUGGCGGCAGGCCUAACACAUGCAAGUCGAGCGAGCGGCGGACGCGUGAGUAUAGUCUGGGAAACUGCGUGAGGGAGAGGGAUAACUCCUGGAAACGCUAAAUAUUAUCGCAUAACAUCAGAUGUGCCCAGAUGGGAUUAGCUCGUAGGUGGGGUAAAGGCUCACCUAGGCGACGAUCCCUAGCUGGUCUGAGAGGAGGACGAGCCACACUGGAACUGAGAGACGGUCCAGAGUCCGACGUGAGGCAGCAGUGGGGAAUAUUGCACACUGGGCGCAAGCCUGAUGCAGCAAUGCCGCGUGUGUGAAGAAGGCCUUCGGGUUGGAAAGCACGUGCAGCGAGGAGGCGUUACCCGCAGAAGAAGCACCGGCUAACUCCGUGCCAGCAGCCGCGGUAAUAC